AAGGCAACAUCGAUGCUUUCAUGGGGUAUAACAUUCCACCGCCAAAUAUAUAUGAUAUUUUAAACGAUGUGUGGGGAAGGGUGAUUAGACCUCCAUUCAAUUACACCACGCUUCUAAAUUCUGAGAAUGAAUAUCGUAAGAUCGAAGCAAUAACCUUUUUUCCUCUGCCGCCACUGGUUUCGAUCCCACACCCACAACCCUCCAUCCUUCGAAUGCUCUUGCGUUUUCCUUAAACUGCCUCAUUCCGAAGCCAUACACACAUAACGGUUUUUCUAGGUGCUAGCAAUGUCGACUCCUGCUAGGAAGAGGCUCAUGAGAGAUUUCAAGAGGCUGCAACAAGACCCUCCUGCAGGAAUCAGUGGCGCCCCUCAGGAUAACAACAUCAUGCUGUGGAAUGCUGUCAUAUUUGGUCCUGAUGAUACUCCAUGGGAUGGAGGCACGUUUAAGUUGAUUCUUCAAUUUACUGAGGAUUAUCCAAACAAGCCACCAACUGUACGAUUUGUCUCUCGAAUGUUUCACCCAAACAUUUAUGCGGAUGGAAGUAUUUGUUUGGAUAUAUUACAAAACCAGUGGAGUCCUAUAUAUGAUGUAGCUGCUAUACUCACUUCUAUCCAGGGGGUCCAUUCUUGUUAAGAGGGAUGUCCUAAGACAUGGUGAGGGGAUGUGAAGGAUGGGCUAAAUGUGAGUAUCAGAACUCAUCGGAGAAUGGGAAUUGAACUGGUAUAAGUCAUUGCUUUGUGAUCCCAACCCAAAUUCUCCUGCAAACUCAGAAGCAGCUCGAAUGUUUAGUGAGAACAAGCGGGAGUACAAUCGAAGAGUUAGAGAAAUUGUGGAGCAAAGUUGGACAGCUGACUAAGCUUGUCUUCAUAUGCUUCUGGGCCUUUGAAGUCACGAAUUAGAUUGCACUGCUACCUAUAAGAAUCAUUGUGCCAACUUACUGAAUUUUAUGUCACAUUCCUUACUGUUUUGAAUGUUAGGAUCAUCUUAUGUUUAAUUCAUUGUAGUUUGUGCAUUGUCCAUGUCAGUUCAUGUAUUAUAGAAUUCUGUCAAUUUGCAUCAAGAUUGUUGUCAACACAAUGUAUAAGUUGUAGUUUCCAGAAUUGGUUAUGAUCACAAGGCUUCAAUUUCUAUGGUUUCCUUGUCA